rnacentral:rRNA from 1 species
AGUGUAUAUCUAUGUUGCUGUGGUUAAAAAGCUCGUAGUUGGAUCUGCGUGUUUAGCGUCCGGUUCAACUUUUCGGUUGCUACUGGAACGCGACACAGAUGUGCUGGUUUGGUGUUGAUGCUCUUAAUCGGGUGUCAGCGCCGGCUAGCGAGUUUACUUUGAAAAAAUUAGAGUGCUCAAAACAGGCGUUUCGCCUGAAUAUUUCUGCAUGGAAUAAUAGAAUAGGACUUCGAUUCUAUUCUGUUGGUUUUCGGAAUGCGAAGUAAUGAUUAAGAGGGACAGACGGGGGCAUUCGUACUGCGACGUUAGAGGUGAAAUUCUUGGACCGUCGCAAGACGAACUAAGG